rnacentral:lncRNA from 1 species
AUGUGUAAUCUAUGAAAAGCUACUUUAGCUAGACUAAAACUUCAUGAAAAUCUAGCGGUUUUGAGAGCAGAUUCAUGUGAAAGCAGUUUCACAGUACAAGUUGCAUCCAAAUAGGCGGCUACAAAUAACCAUUACUAAGGAAGAGAUAUGGAUAGGGUCUUUUGCAUACAUACCCUUGCAAUAUAUCCACAAUUGCAAAUACCCCAGCAAAGUUGAUAUUUAUCCGCAUGCCAUGGAAAGCCUCCGUCCACCUGCUAGGGUACCUAGGCAAAACCAAUGGCAUCUAUGCAAAAGGAAUUUUGCAUAGACAAUCCUGGGAGGGCACGCAUGGAAAUAAGUAAAGUAUUUUAGGGGUACACAUGCUAAAAGAUUUGUAGCGGUAAUAUAUAUGCAAAAAAUGCUAAGAUAAAUUGCUAUAAUAGCACGUCAAGAGCGGGAGCAGGGGCCAGCUAUUUUACCUUUGUGAUACCAAUAAAUUUGGUGCACAGGAGGACAUUCCUAGAGAAUGUCCUGAAACUUUGGAGUUUUAUUAUACAUAAUUUUAUUAUAAAAUUUGAAACCUAGAGGUGAAAUUAAAAAAAUAGCAACAUGUGCCUCAUAUCCCUUUUGUUUCCUUCCUAUUUUCAUUAUUCACAAAAUUUGGCAGCAAGGUACAUCCAAUUCAUGCAUAAUAAAACUCAAGAAUCCAAAUCUUCAUUAACUAAAACAGUUGCUGACUCAGAUCCUUUCCAAAACCUUCAUGGUAGGCAUUCUUGCCUCGCACAUCUCUUUCUACAUAUAAGCUGACUGAGUUAAACUUUGCACAACUAACACAAUAAUUUCUGGAGUCAAUCUUCCAUAUAUGCAUGAGCUUUCAAAAAUCUAUGCAUUAUAUUUUUGCAGAUAAAACAGAAGUCUGAGAAUGCUUGUACCUGGGAAGUGAAGUGUCUACCACGAAAAUACACACGCCAAUAUCUCCAAGGAAGCUGCUCCCCCAGUAAACACCUGUCUGAGACUCUCAACCAAAUUCAUAGUAAAUAAAGAAAUGAGAGAUCAGUUGAUAAACAAUGAGAAAAGCAAAUUAUUAAAGCCAAUCAUCUAUAUCAUUUGAAUACACGUGAGUUAUUUUCCCAAAAGAACUCUUAGUUAGGAAGAAAACUCAAUAUCAAGCACAUCUAGAUAUAGAUGAACAAAAAGAGGCAUUUGCAGCAAGUUAUGAAGAUAGAUAAUGCAUAUUUAGGAUCUUCAUUAAGUAUUUCAGCUGUAUAUUCAAAGUUCACUUACAAUGAUUUAAACAAAAACAAAAAAGGUCGUCGUACCAACUAUAUCUUUUUAUCAGGUAAAGCACGCACAAUAUAUCACUACCAUCAAUAUUGAAAAUCACAAUUAUUACAUUACCAAUUACAAGCCUCUCCAAGUAAACAAAGCACCAACUGUUAAAAAAAAACAAGGCUAAAUUACAUAAAACCUCCUUGUCAAUACCCCUUUUUUCACUUCCCCUCCUGUCAUUUAAAAACCUACACUUUGCCUCCUUAUAAAAUAAAAAAUAUUCACAAGGGAGUACGGUAUUAACUGUGACGACAAAAUGAUCAUUUUGCUCUCACCAUCUUCGUCUCUUCCCCAUUUUUGCUCAUCCGCCGCCUUUCCUCUUCCAUUUUUUGCACCUCAAUCCACCACAAUUCGUCUCCAUUUUCUUCUUCACCUUCUUCCCUUCUCCUCCUACACCCUCGUCACCCCUCGAUUUCGGCGACAGUAAGGAGGAAAUUGAGGUGGGCAUGAAUGGAGAGGUGGAAAAGGGCGCGGGCGAAGGCGAUGCGGCGGAGAAGGGCGAGGGGGUGUUUGUGGGCGCAAACAGAGAUAUGGGCAAGGGCGAGGCAGCGGAGGAGUGCGAGGCGGCCAGGCGGAGGAGGGUGAGGCAACAGGAGAGGAGGCUGAGGGUAUUUUUGGUAUAAAAAAUAUAAUAAUAUUUUAUAAACGGAACCCUAACAGAGCACUAACGGCAGGGGAUGAAGUGAAUAUUUUUCAUUUUACAAGAGGGGAAAAUGUAGGUUUUUAAAUGACAGGAGGGGAAAGUGAAAAAGCGGGUAUUGACAGGGGGGUUUUCUGUAAUUUAGCCAAAAAACAAAGUAGGACGAAGAAGAUGUUUAUUAGUAAUAUCCAAACAAGAAAGUUAAGACUGGAUAUCCACUCACAAAUCUACAUUUCCUGCUUAAUCUUGACUGUCAAAAGAUAAGCCAAGACAAAUAUUAUAGCAGGAAACAGCCCUAGGAAGGUCAGUGCUGGCAUCAAAUCUACCUGAUACCAAUCAACUGCAACAAAUAAAAUGCUAAUUAUCAUGUUACAACUGGGAAGAGCACACUAUGUUUGAUUCCCUUCGUCCGGUUUAGCAUUAAAAUCUGUGUGGUUUUUCUCAUUUCCAUCACUGUAAUUUCGUUCCUUUUUGUCAAGCCUUGGGUCAUCAGCUUUUUGCUGCAACUGACCAAGUUUUUCCUGCAAAGUCGAAAACCAAUUAUACGUUUCAUGAAAUAUAUCAUCAUCUACAAACCCAAAAAAGUUAUCAGAACCAAACUGAACCAAACUGCUGGUCAAACCAUUCAAACCGCAAUCUCUGUGUGAACUUGGUCUGGUUGAAUAAAAAACACAAAUUAGGGGAAAAAAACUGCGCAAGCCACUAUCGAACAGGGAGUUUCUAAGUGAGCCGUGAAAACCAGCUUGGUUGAACUGGUUUUCUUUACAAACUUUCUAUUAUUUCAUUAUUUAUUUAUGCUUUGAAAGUGUAGAGCUAUAACUAAAGUUCAUUCAAUUGUUCUUCACUACUAAAUCCACUUUAAGACCAUGUUUGGAUGUCAGAAUAAGAUACUCAAAGAUAAUUUAUUCAGUAUGAAGAUUUUCGUGUGUGAUUAGAAGCUAGGAGUUUGAGUUUUGCUCCUUCAAAUGUCCUAACAUCCAUGAUUGGUAGGAUAGCAUAUUUCACCUGGGAGGUGAUUUAUGUUAUUCUGAAAAGAUGACUUGAAAACUGAAUAUGAUAUCCAUUCAAGACAUUUGAUCACAUUCUUCAUCUACCAAAUACGACAUGCUUUUGGAGUAAAGCAGAUGUUCAAUGCAUUCCAAACAAGGCCUAAAUGUACAAUCAAUCAUAUAUUUAUAUCUUCCCUAAUACUAAAACAUUUACCUAUACGAUCUAAGACAUGAGAACCAUAUUUUGAUUUAUAUAAAAACAGUUGAUUCAACCAUUAAAUCAGUGGUUACAAUGGUUGAACCUUAGAUAUUCAUCUCCAUGAUUUGAUGUUCAGUUUGGUUCUAACAACACAGCUCUAAAUUAAUGUUCACCACCUUAAGAGAGGCGUUCUGGGAAAGAAGAUCCUCGUACUCCUUCCUGAGCCGGUUUACUUCUGCUCUAAGUGAAGCAUUUUCCUCCUUUAAAGACUCGGCACGUUGACCAAGCUCUUCACAUUCAGCCUGAAGAAAAAUAAAACAACCAGUAAUUAGUUGAAGUCCUUAUCAGUUGGAAAUUAACUAGAAGUACCUAAGCGCCGAUCAGGCCUUGCCUCUAGAGCAGCUUUUCUAUACUAGGAAGAAACAGCUUAGAGACCCAGAAGCUUGGCUUCCAAAAAGCCUAGAGUUUUUUCUGGUGUGGAAAGUUACGAGCUUUUGGGUCUCGAAAGCAGGAGCUUAAUUUUGAAGCUUCUAUUCAUGCUGCAGCAGAAGCUGCUAAUGAAAAAACUAUGCUGCUUCAAAGAGCCUAAUCAAGCAGAAUUCUGCAAAAUCACCAGCGGGCCCAAAAAAUCCCUAAAGAGGACUUAGAAACUAAUUGCGAGUUAUCACCUGCUUGCGCAACCUAGAUCUCCGAGCAGAUUCCCUGUUAGACUGCUUGCGUCUCUGCUUUUUUAAUUCUCUUUCAUCCUGAUUUACAUAAAAAUUGUUGGUAAAACUGUUUAGGACCUUAGAAGCUUUGUCUAAUAAUGCACAUACCAAAAGUAUAAGCCAUGACUGAUUUUCGACAUCAAAAUUAGAUAGACUUGGAUGCUCCGGAACAUAUUGAAGUGUCCAGCCAAAAAAUCUCCCUGCAAUAACUAGUAUGCUCAUCCUCUUCUUUUUUCCCUUUUCCUCUUCUAUAUUUCCCUCCUCUAAUUUUCUCACUUAUAUGAAACCAGAACUAAAUUAUUAAUGGCAGUAUGAUCAGUACUUUUCAUUUUAUAUCAAGAAUAUAUUGUCCAGAUAUUCCAGACAAUGUUCUUAGUCUGUUCCGUAGUGUUUCUACUACAGAGUCAAACCAGAACUAAAAAUAUAAAGUAGAUCAAUUAGGCAAAUACCGCUUUGCACCAAAUUUCAAACAAAAACCAACAAAAUUGCAUGAAAGCAAGCCAAAACUAAUUCCAGAUAAAACUAUACCACCAUAAUAGUUCGGUGAGAGAGAGAGAGAGAGAGAUAGAGAGACAGAGGAAGAAGAAGAAGAAGAAGAAGCAAUUCCAGAAUGGGGGCUAAGAAGGAAGCCAUACCCACUGCUCUGCUGGAAGCAAAGCUCCAGGGAUUGCUGUGGAAGGUACCUUGCCAGGAAUUGCAGGAAUAGCUGAUGAGCUUGGAGUGCUCCAGUAGUCCAUUCCUAUAUUUAAAUUUGUGGUGGGGCUGACAACCCCUCCAAUUGCACCGCUUGCUGGCAUAGGCAUGAUAGAUAUCGCUGGAUUCAACUUUGAUUGUGACGCCGUGCGACUUAUACCAUUGUGAGAACCAUGUGCGACAUUGCCACUCUGAGAGGCCUCUGCUGCCAUGUGUAUAAAAGACAAGCUUAGGAAAGAUAUUUAAAAACUUGGACCACCCUAAACUAUUAUACUUAUGACAAAUGGUUACCUGAUUUUUCAGAAGUAACAAUAUAUAUAGAGAGAGAGCUACUUGAACGACCUAACCCUACUAAUCUCAAUUUUCUGUAACAACCGCAAGCACAUAACUGUGAUGUAACUUUCACCAGUUUUGGCCUUAAUUCUCUUCUUUUGAAUGCAAAUAUGAGUUUCGGGGCAUAAGUCAAUGUAACUGAUGGCGGUUAAGAAAAAUAGACAGAAAAAGGGUAAGUAGUUGACCAAAUGAGAAGAUUGCUUAAGCAGUUUUCUUUUCUUUUUUUUUAUUUUAUUGAACUCCUAAAUCUUGGAAGACAAUCUGUAAAAGCACGAUAGUCCAGGGAGAUUUGCCGCAUUUAUUUUAUCUUAGAUAUUUAUUCAUGACCAAUUAGAGAGUUCUAGCAUGACUACCUCCCAAAGAUUCUUGUCCACCACUAGUCUUUGCCUGUGAAUCCUGAAGAAGUAAAGAUUAUAUAAAACGUCAUAUCAGAUUCGAGUGAAGAAGCAUUGUGAUAACUAGUUUAUCUUUAGAUAGCGGCUCUAGGAGUAGACAAGUUGUUUCGAAAACUAGAUGAAAAAAAUACUUUCCUUAUUCUUUGCCACCCUCUCUAAGGCUCAAAUUUACCACUUUGAAUUAAAAAAGUAGCAUAAAUGAACAGAAAGAGAACACAAGACCAUCAAAAGACGCUCGUUCAGAAAACAAUAUGAUGAAGGUAAAUUAGCCUAGGCCUUUCUGCCAUUUGUCUAACUAAUGCAAAGUGGACUACUACUGGAGCUCACAUUCUGAGAGUUUGCAUCACUUCCUUCACUUGAACUUUCAGUUUCACUUUCACCACUGCAAAAUGCCAAAAACAGCAUUCUUUAGGAGGCCAAAUGAAUAAUCCAAUGUUAUGAAAACUACCUACUUGUUACAAACCUUUGAGAAAAGGCUCCGUUUGCUGAUGCCCCUGAUGUUUUACCUAUCUCGUUGUUGUUCUUUCCCAUAAUCAUACUCAAGCUACCUAAACUUCCUUUGGACCUUUUGAGGGGACUUCUUUCCUUACCUUCAGAUGACUUAUCAUCCACUUCCGAACCACCAGCAGUGGCUCCCUGACAGAUGCAAUGUAUUGGAAUCAGUAUUCUUGAUGCCAAAUGCAGUAACAGUUGAGGUAAAGAAUGUGUAACUUACAACACCAUCAGCAUUUCCAUUUGGAGAAGGCAUAGCAUAAGGGCUGAAUGGAAUUGAACCCUGACCAUUUGAUUGCAAUAGAGAAAAAACAAAUUAGGAUGCUCAAACUUUGAAUAACAAAGACAAGUAAAUAUGUACAAAAUGAAGGACUCAGAUAAACAUAAUUAAGAAGAGCAGGCAAAACUUGCAGACUUUGGCUGAUAAUCUACCUGAACUUCGAAAAUUUCUGUGAUUUCUCUACCUAACUUCAAAAAGUUAUUUUCAUUUCCAAAAAUUCUUUCAGAGUUAUGUGAGCACUUACCGCAUCCAAAAAGUUGUCAAAUAUUUUAUUAGAUAACAGAAAAUUCCGUCAAAAAAAAGAAUCAGUAUAUUUUGGGAAAGAGAUACUCAAAUAAAAAUAAUCGAUAGUUUAGGAAGACAAAUAAAAAUUUUAAAGUUCAGCUACCCAUUUUAAAAUGCGCUGACAGUAAAGUAAGAUAUGCCUGUUUCAGCCUUUGCAAAAAGAAUAUACCGGAGGCAUGGAAGCAUGAGCAUAUAACCCUCCUGGUGGAUACAUGACAUAUGGUGUUGGCGGAGUCCCAUAAGGCAUAAUGGGCUGAAACAUAAAAAGGAAAAUAUAACAUCUGCAAUAAAAGCACUAAUGGAGAAUUCCAGGUGGUCCACACCCUCUGCUAAUGACCUAUUCACUUAGUGUUCAUCCCUAUAUUCCCAUACUCGAACACCUAGUUUAAUCCGAAUGCUUAAGAGGGAAAGACAGUCUAGUAUAUAGCAAAGGGUUGCAACCACAUAAAUAACACAUGUAUCAGGUAGCGAGACACAGUAAGUUCCAUUUCCUUCUUUCAGCUUUCAUCACAAUAUUAACUAGCUCUAGUUUAAAAAACAAAAAAAGUUUCAAACUUUUAUUUCUAAUUUGACAACUUCAUACUGUCAUCUAACCUUCAAGUGCGCUAUCGCAUUAAAAUUCCAAGAACCGAAAAACAAACAAAAAAAAAGAACUCUCCACUUUGCAAGUCCCAACAACGGGGUAGUAAAGUGAAAACAAGCCGCCAAGACAUCUACUCUUAUAGUGCGAUCACAUCCCACCAAAAUAAAGUUACAAGAAAAUGCCCCCCUUGUACAAUGUUUUUGAAUAUUAAAUAAUCUAAUUUAGGAGACAAUUAUUGUAUGCCUAACUGUUAAGAUUCAGUCUCUAUGACAAGUUGGUGCAUGUUUGGCCCAGUUUCUUUUUAGCAAAAAAAGUGCCAGUUGACUAAAGUCACUCGGAUAAGUAGUAGCUUUUUCAUUGAAGUACUCCAAACAUCCUAAUGCAGCUAAAUUUAGAAAACUUUAAAUCGAAGCUUCCGCCUUUUGGUCCGCUAAGCUUAUUUUGGUCUUCCACAGGACCCAAAAGCUCUGCCAAAUGUCUGGCUUCUACUUCUCAAAUAGACAUGCAAAGUAAAGAAGCCCCACCGACCAUGUACUCAAAAUCGGCGGAAAAAGCCACUCGCCCUAGAUUACACCUGGCCUUACCCAGAUUUAAGAUGACAUACCAGAAAAAUCCAAAUUACAUAACAAUUCAACACAGAAAUCGAAAACUUAAACAGUACCUGAGCUCCCCACAUGUAAGGAUGCGCCUGGGGACUUGAUGUGUGAAAGAACCCAGGCGGAGGAAUCGGCGAAUACGCCUAUCGAAAGAAAAAAGCUAGAAAGGUCAUAACCUCACUUGAACAUGCAAUCACCCAACACAAAUUGAGAAGAGGAAACUCAAGAACUACACACUUCACCAGCUAAAGACAAAGCUUACCCACCUGAAAUCCUGACCAAUCAGGGUAUACUGGUGUGGCCGGUGCCGAAGUAGUCGGCGGCGGCUGUUCCUGAACAAUAACAACCAAAAAUUUGCAUAAACAAUUUCUCGUUUUACUAUUCUAAUGAGGAGAUCAACAGCUCAAUCACGCUAAAGCCGAAUCAAAAGGAGCAGAUCGAGCACCUGCGCCGCCGAUGCCUUCGGCGCCUUGGGCGGAGCAUCGGCUUCGCCGCUCCCCAUGAAUGGGGUUGGUUUCAGAAACCCUAAGCGAUCACUCCAUGCUCCGCAGUAAGUAAAACCCAAAUUACGCCCAAAACUGAUAGCCUCGCCUUGGGAUCUCAACUCGAAACCCUAAAUCUCACGAAAACCCUACAAAUCGCGAUCAUGGCAUCUUCGACACCAAAACCGAUCGGAAUCGAGAUCGGGAGAGAGGGAGAUCGACGCGUACCGAUUGGAGACGGAGGUCCGCGGCGGAGGCGGCGGAGAACAGAGGCGAGGGCGAUGAGAUCCGAUCCGAGAGGUGGAUUUGGGCGAAUUCGACGGAGCAAAAUCAAAAAUGGGAGAAGAGAGAGAGAGAGAGAGAGAGAGAGAGAGAGAGAGAGGGGGGGUGGACGAUGAGGGCAAAAUGGUAAUAAUAUUUUAAUAAUUUUUAUAUGAACUUAUGUUUAUUGCUUAUAGUUUAAAAAUUAAAAAAAAAAAUUCAAAUAUCAUCUAUUUAGUUUUACACUUUAUCACUUUAGUACCAUUUGAUUUAAAGUAUAUCAAUUUAGUGUCCAGUGAUUUUAUUUUUAUCUUUUUAUUAUCGAUUUUACUAAAUUUUUUCGUUAAAUCAGUGACAAAGUUAAAACUAAAGAUAUUAAAAUAAAUAUUCGAUAAAUCUAGAUUGAAUAUCUGAAAUUUUUGUAUAUAAUUUAACGAAAUAUUAACAAAAAAACUGAUGAAAAUAUAAAAAUGAAACCACAGGAUACUACCUUGAUAUACUUUAAAACACAGAAUACUAAAGUUAGAAAGUUCAAAACCAUAGUAUUGGUAUCUGAAGUUUAUCCUUAAAAAAAUAGCUCAGUGGUGCUUUUAAAAAAUAAAAAAAUACAGUGUAAAAAGUGAAAAAACUUAUAAAGUACUAUCAAGUAAUUAGCACGAGUGGAGUUCCUGCACUUCACUGCGGUUAUUUUUUGUAUAAAUAUUAAAUUAUAAAUUUUAUAAUAUGUAAAUAAAAUUUUGUAGUAUAAUAAUAAGUUGAAGAGCCUUUUCAAAAUUAUUGUGCCGUAGUUCCAUUUCCGCCCAUUCGCACCAAACGGUAGCGAGAUGGUCGACCGACUUGUAGUUCACCUACGUAGCCCUUUCGAAGACCUCUUCAGCACGGUCAAGUCGAUUAUUGCUCUCGUACAUCCGCGCAAAAGCGAUCCACAGAGUAUGGGGCUUCCCCACCGCCUUCAUCGGAUCCACUAUCUCCAAUACUCGGGCGUGAGCAGACAGCUGCAUCGCAGGAUCGCCGUCGAAAAGCUUCACCCGCCUGCAAUUGAAAUAUACAGUUAGAUUCUUCCCAAAGGGCUUGUUUGGUUCAUCCAUUAUAGAACUCGCUGCUGGUUAACUCCUUUAUCAGUCUUCCGCCUUCCUCGUCACCUAGGUCGCCGUUGUCCACCUCACCAUCAGAGGAAUCGAGCUUGGCGGCAAGCAACAUCUGCUCGAACUGCGCAUACGCCUCAAAGAUGAGGCCGAAUUCCCCGGCAGUCGAAACAGCAUUGAGGUCGGCCUCGAAGACGUCCUGCGCCUUCUUGAAGAGCCCUCUGCAGGCGUAGUAGUCGGCGAGGGAGUUCCAGAGCAGGCCUUCCUCGUUGGUGAGUUGGCGGAUGCCGCUGCGAAUGACGGCUUCGACGUUUAGGCCUGAAAUUGAGAUUUCAACGGCGUGGCCGACGACAAUGGCUAUUGGAGAUAUAGAUCUAUUUAACAACUAAUCUAUCUUUCCAGCUUUACUUAUUUUCAAAUUGGUUAAUUAUUUUCAAUUUGAAACUAUCUUUUAAUAGACCCAAAAUUUAAAAUUCUAAUAAAAUAUAGAUUGAUGUUUGAAAUUUUGUACCAAAAUAUCCUAAGAGGUGUUUGGAUGCUUCAAAAAUACCCCAACAAAAUAGGGUAUAGUUUAACUAUACCCUAAAAAACAGGGUAAAAGUAAAAUCUAAUAUUUUCUCUAGAAAAAAAAUUACUCCAUUUUUCGGGCCGCCUCCCCACUCGCCCGACUUCCUCUCGCGCGUCUCUUUCCCUCCCGUUGCCCUCUCCACAACUUCCUCCCAUCUCCUUCCCGUUGCCGCUCUCACCUCAGCACAGCUUCCUCCCAUCUCCCUCCCGUUGCCGCUCUCACCUCAGCCGCUGCCGCCGCCGCCGUGGAUCUCGGCCACCGCUGCUGCCACACUCAUCUCGCGGGUUGCCGCCAUUGCCGCGCACGUCUCGCGCGCUGCCACCUUUGUAGUCACGAUCACCUCGGCCGCCGCCGCGGCCGCACUAACCUUGGCCGCCAUUUUCUUUUUUCGAUCUUCUCUCGCCCCUCGCCCCUCUCGCCCCUCGCCUUGCGAUGGCCGGAGAAGGGCAGCCCCAUUUCCCUCCUCCAACAGGUAACAGGUCUUCUUCUUCUUCUUCUUCUUCUAAUUUUGUUCAAUGGGGUAUCCCUUCUUCUAAUUUAUGGGUCUUCUAAUUUUAUUUUUUUUUCAACAGGUCUUCUUCGGAUUUUUUUUUUUUCAAUAGGGCAUCCCUUCUUCUUCUUCUUCUCAUUUUGUUAUUUUUUACAAUAUUUUCAUAUAAUCUGAUUUUAUUUGUUUUGAUUUUGUUGAUGACAUUCUCUGAUUAGCGUAACUGUGUCAAACACUUUUUGAGAUGUUUACAUGAGUAAGGUAACUAUGGAAGAAUAUAAAGUUUCUAUUCUGCUGAUUAGCUUUGAGUAACACUGAAGAAAAGUUGUGAGAAAAUCAGAUAAGAUGAUUCGGACAUGUUUAAUGAAAUGAUUGAGAAUAUGUCUGAAGUUUCUGUUGAAAAGUAGAAAUGGUUAGUGAAGUUAUAAGGCUUCUUGGUUUCGGUCAAUGUUGAAGAGAAAGGAUAGGCCACUAGCUAGAAUUGCUGAUGUAGGUUAAAAACAGUCAAGGGUAAAAAAAUGGUCUGUACUGCUGAUGAGAAUAUUGCUAUUCUGCAAUAUUCUCAUUGAAUAGCAAUAUUCUCAUCAACAGUUAUCAAAAUUGCUAUUCUGCAAACAUGUGAAAACUUGGACUCCGAACCUUGACAGAGACUGUACUGCUGACGAGAAUAUCAAUUUGGGUAGAAGACCCCACGAAGGGGAGAGAAAGAUUAAAAAGCACAUAGCUAUGUAUAAACAUAUACAAUGUGUCCAUUUUAAGGUGAACCUAGUUAGGAUUACACAGCUAUUGAAAGAGACUGGAAGCUUUUAUUGGUCUAUGGCCGUUGAUGUAUACUUUGUCUUUGAUCUUUUGUUUAUACUUUGCCAAAAUGGGUUGUAGCUUUGCCAAAAUUGGGUUUUUUAAUUCUCCAACAGCUAGAGAUAAAACUUUCCGACGACUAAUUUUUCAAAUUUUAAUUUUUAAAUUUUAAAUUUUAAAAUCAUUUAAUAGUUAAUAAUUUAAAUUUAAAUUUUGAACUUUUAUUUUAAAUUUUUAGUUUUUAAAGUCAUUUAAUAGCUAAUAAUUUAUGUUUAAACUCCCAAGGCUAAUUUUUAAAGAUUAUCAGAAAUUCUGUAGAAUUAUAUAAUGUGUAUUCAAAUAGCUUUUAAAAUGAACCCGUGAAAUAUUUUUGGAGUUACAGGAUACUCCAUUUCAUUUGGAUCAAAACUACGGUAUUUAAACUCCACAAAAUUUAUUUACUGCUCAUCCAAACAGAGCCUAAGUAUGAAUUUUUUCUUCUGUUUCUGCAAAUAAAAUUUUAUAUAUAUUUUAGCUAUAAAAUGGAUAUAUCAAUAAUUAUUUUAAUAUUUAUUUCAAAUCAUCAUAUUUAUCAAAAAAUUUUAAAAAAUUUUUUUCUAAAAAUAAUUUGUCUAUUAUAUUUUAUUUAAAAUUAUAUGUUACAUUCUAAUUCAAAUUCAAAUAAUUGUCGCCGACAAAAAUUAUAUAGUUCUAUUUUUUUAAAUUCAUACAUUGAAUAUUUCACUAUAUGUUUUUUUUUUUUUGAANAUCCAGAGGAACACUGGUGAUUCACACUCCAGAACUGCAAUAUUUCUGCCGACUCAGACCUAACUCCAUACAUUGAGCAAAUUCACAGUUAUUUGGGUCGGCCGUGGCGGAAUUUAUCUAGGACUUCAAAAUUUUAAUUCAUGUUUAAUUCAAAAUUUAAUAUUUAAUUUUGAUUCACUUUAAUUAAAAUUUCUAACUGUUAAUUCAAAUUUAAUAUCUAAAAUUAUAUUUAAUUCACGAUUUAAACUUAAAUCUUAAUUUUAAUUUAAAAAUCUAUAAAUUUAAAUUUAAGUUAUAUAAUUAAAUUUUAACUCUAAAUUUCAGAUGAAAUAAAAAUUUUAAAUCAAAUAAAAUUAAAAUUAGAUAGAUAUUUAAAUUUAAAUUUAAAUUUAAUUAUCGGUUGCAAAAAGUUAAUAUAACAACUAAAUAUUAAUGUGAAGAAUUGAGAUAAUUUUUAAAUAUUCACCUUAAAAAGAAAAGGAUAUAUUGAAUGAUAUAAAAAUAUUUAAUAGAAAAAGAAAAUAUUAUUCGUUAAAGAUAAAAAAGAAUUAAAAAUUUGUUUUAUUACGUUUUUUGUUUUGUAUAAGAAAAGGAGAAACCGAAUUUUUUUUUCCACAAAAAAUAGGUCUAUUGAUGGGUCGAAAUUUGAAAUAUGUGCUUUUCUAUAUAUAGUAUUGCACGGGUACGCUUAUAUAAUUUCAUUUGGACCAAAACUACGGUAUUUAAACUCCAUAAAAUUUAUUUACUGCUCAUCCAAACAUGGCCUAAGUAUGAAUUUUUUCUUCUGUUUUUGCAAAUAAAAUUUUAUAUAUAUUUCAGCUAUAAAAUGGAUAUAUCAAUAAUUAUUUUAAUAUUUAUUUCAAAUCAAUACAGAUUUGUGCAUCAUAUUUAUCAAAAAAUUUUAAAAUUUUUUUUUCUAAAAAUAAUUUGUCUAUUAUAUUUUAUUUAAAAUUAUAUGUUACAUCCUAAUUCAAAUUCAAAUAAUUGUCGCCGACAAAAAUUAUAUAGUUCGAUUUUUUUAAAUACAUACAUGGAAUAUUUCAUUAUAUGUUUUUUUUUUUUUGAAAGAUCCAAAAGUUAAAUAUAUAUUUUAAACUAAAAGUGUCAAAAUUUUAAUUAACGUUUAAUUCAAAAUUUAAAAUUUAAUUUUGAUCCACUUUAGUUAAAAUUUUCUAACUAUUAUUAAUUGAAAUUUAAUAUCCAAAUUAUAAUUAAUUCACGAUUUAAACUCAAAUUUUAAUUUUAAUUUAACUCUAUAAAUUUAAUUUUAAAUUAUAUAAUUAAAUUUCAACUCUGAAUUUUAGAGUUUAAAUCAAUUGAAGUUAAAAUUUAGAUAGAUAUUUGAAUUUAAAUUUAAAUUUGAUAAUCGGUUGCAAGCAAUAAAAAGUUAAUAUAACAACUAAAUAUUAAUGUGAAGAAUUGAGAUAAUUUUUAAAUAUUCACCUUAAAAAGAAAAGGAUAUAUUGAAUGAUAUAAAAAUAUUUAAUAGAAAAAGAAAAUAUUAUUCGUUAAAGAUAAAAAAGAAUUAAAAAUUUGUUUUAUUAUGUUUUUUGUUUUGUAUAAGAAAAGGAGAAAUCGAAUUUUUUUUUCCACAAAAAAUUAGGUCUAUUGAUGGGUCGAAAUUUGAAAUAUGUGCUUUUAUAUAUAUAGUGUUGCACGAGUACGCUUAUACAAUCGUUGGCAUCUGUCGCAGAUGAUGAUACUGCAUCGUGGCAGGUGAUCGAAUGCUUUGGUUCUGGUGAGAGGCUGUAGCAUACUCGACGCCUCACCGGAAGCCAUUUUGAUAGAUGUCGUGGUUCCCCAGGAUGGCACUGAGAACUACAUGACAGUGAUGGCGGCUAUAGAUACAGCACCAUCGAGCAGCGAACACCGCUAUGUCAUUUACAUUCGGAGAGGGACAUAUAAUGAAGACGUUUUCGUUGAGAAGCCGAAUGUAGUUUUCAUAGGCCCACUGUGGCUAGGGUAUCACAUAAUCACUGACCCAGCUGUGACUGCUAAUUUCACAGUCAUGCUGUUGAUCGAGGGAGACUCAUGGUUGUCUUCUACUGGGAUUAGUUACAAGAGUGGAUUGUAGUGAGAUAGAUUAGAGUGUGGGUGAGUCAAGUGGCUAGGGUAUCACAUAAUCACUGACCCAGCUGUGGCUGCCAAUUUCACAGUCACGCUGUUGAUCGAGGGAGACUCAUGGUUGUCUUCUACUGGGAUUAGUUACAAGAGUGGAUUGUAAUGACAUAGAUUAGAGUGUGGGUACUUCUAUAGAUUUGAGAGCUGAGUUGGAGAGGAAAGUAUGAUAUCAAAAGAUUAUUAUUUAAAUGAGAAAAUAUUUUUGGCAUAAAAGUGUCCAUAUUUUGUUUAAGUGAAUGUGAAUGUAUUGGCUACUAUAAUAAUCUGCAAUAAAACUACAUAAUGAAUACUAUAUUACUAUUGUUUUGUGAUUGUAACCGACAAUUUUAUUUUAUUUUUAUAUUCUGAUGGAAAGAAAGGUUGGUUGUGAUAUGUUAGAAGCGAGGCGAGGGUGAAACUGGGCCGGGUUGGAAAUGGAACAGACAUGGCUCAAGUAAAUUGAGUAUAUUUUGGGCCAGACUUUGGCUAAAAAUAAAAUAAUAUGAAAAUAAAGCCCGAUCAAAUAUUAGGCUUUGGUUAGGGCCAUGUAAGAGGCAAUAUAUAUAUAUAUAUAUAUAUAUAUAUAUAUAUAUAUAUAUAUAUAUAUAUAUAUAUUAUUAAUACACACACAUUAUAUAUAUAAUUAAAUUAUUAUUAAUACACACACAUUAUAUAUAAACUGGAGCUUUAAGUAUAAAUUAAAUAAUAUAAUAUCAAAUUAUUAGAAUAAUAUUCUAUCAGUGCAGUUUUGAGGGCUACCAGGAUACAUUAUACGCCCACUCCUACAAGCAAUUCUACCAAGAAUGCCGCAUCAUCGGCACAGUAGACUUCAUAUUCGGGAAUGCAGCAGCUGUGUUCCAGUUCUGUCUCAUCCUCGCCUGUCGUUCUCUUCCUGGCUAGGCGAACACUAUUACUGCCCAGGGUCGUGAUGACAUCCAGAGGAACACUGGUGAUUCACACUCCAGAACUGCAAUAUUUCUGCCGACUCAGACCUAACUCCAUACAUUGAGCAAAUUCACAGUUAUUUGGGUCGGCCGUGGCGGAAUUUAUCUAGGACUUCAAAAUUUUAAUUCAUGUUUAAUUCAAAAUUUAAUAUUUAAUUUUGAUUCACUUUAAUUAAAAUUUCUAACUGUUAAUUCAAAUUUAAUAUCUAAAAUUAUAUUUAAUUCACGAUUUAAACUUAAAUCUUAAUUUUAAUUUAAAAAUCUAUAAAUUUAAAUUUAAGUUAUAUAAUUAAAUUUUAACUCUAAAUUUCAGAUGAAAUAAAAAUUUUAAAUCAAAUAAAAUUAAAAUUAGAUAGAUAUUUAAAUUUAAAUUUAAAUUUAAUUAUUGUUUGCAAUCAAUAAGAAGUUAAUAUAACAACUAAAUAUUAGCAGAUAGAAUUGAGAUAAUCUUUGAAUAUUCACCUUAAAAAGAAAAGGAUAUUGAAUAAUAUAAAAUUAUUUAAUAGAAAAAAAGAUAUUAUUCGUUAGAGAUAAAAAAAAAUUAAAAGUUUGUUCAUUACAUUAUUUGUUAAAGAGGAACCAAAUUUUUUUUCUACCAAAAAAAAGGUAUGUCAACAUACCUAAAAUUGAAAACUAGUAAUUACAAAAUAUUAGCGGAUAGAAUCUAGAUAAUUUUUAAAUAUUCAUCUUAAAAAGAAAAGAAUAUUGAAUAAUAUAAAAAAUAUUUAAUAUAAAAAAGAUAUUAUUUGUUAGAGAUAAAAAAAGAAUUAAGGGCGUGUUUGGUUCGCCCAUUUUUUAUCCUGUAAUUGGAAUCGGAAUGGACGAAUCCGUUUGUCCGUUUUUGGUUUGCCAAUUUUGACGUAAAUUUUUAGUAUUUAGUUAUAAAGAUAAAAUUGACUUAUUAAUUUAAUUAUAUUUUUAAUAUCUGAAAUAAAUACCGACAAUGAAAAUGACUCAUUUCGAUUCGAAUUUAGGUGGCGAACCAAACAGAAUGAGAUAAUUAAUCAUUCUGAUUCCAUUUCCAACUUAUUCUCAUUCCGAUUCUGAUACCGAUUCCAAUUUCAAACCAUACCCUAAAAGUUUGUUUUAUUACAUUAUUUGUUAAAGAGGAAUGAAAAUUUUUUUUCACCAAAAAAGGGUCUGUCAACAUACCUAAAAUUGAAAUAUAUGCUAUUAUAUAUUUAAUUUUAAAUUUUGAAUUAAAGUAUUAAUUCAUAUUUGAAAUUAUGAACCAAAUUUAAAAUUUAACAUUGAUUUGAUAAGCAUAUUUAAAUCAUUCUAUUUUUCAAUGCUAAUUUUUUUUAGUUAGUUAAUUGAGAGAUAGUGUAUACUAAAUAUUUUCAAUAUGUGUUGAGUAGAUAUUUUUGUUUUUUGAUUAUUAUGGAAUAUUCUUUUAUAGGGCAAUUGUGAAAAAUAUUUUAUAGCAGAUAUCCUUCAGAUGACAGAAAUUUGGAUUUUUUUUCUGUUCUCACAAAUGGAAUGCAAUAUUUUUUUCUACUAAAAAAAGAUUUGUCUACAACUAUUUUAAUAAUUAUCUCAAAUCAAUAUAAAUUUGUGAAUUACAUUUAUUUUCAAAUUUAAAAUUUAAAAUUAUAAAUUCAUAUGUUAUAUUUUAUUGAAAAAUAUCUCAUAUUUUAAAUAUUAGUAGAUAAAACUGAGAUAAUUUUUUAUAUAUUCAACUUUAAAAAAAAUGUUUAAAUAUUAUAUAUGCGGAGAGUAUUACGUGAUUAGAUAUUAUGUAGGUGGUGGGAAUUACAUGUGAAAAAAAAUAUUUAAGAUAUGGUAGAUUGUGAAUAUUAUAAAAUACGAUAUUAUGUGUGCGGCAGUUAUUAGAAGAUAGGUGUGCAUAUAAAAGUGAAAUUUGAUACGUACUAUUUAAGAACAAUUUAGAUACAAAAAAAAGUGACAGACACUUAAUUCGUCAUUCAGGAGAAACUUUUUUUAAAACUCUCUCUUUUAUAAGUAGUAUAGAUAAUUUAAUUAUUAUUAAUAUAUGUACACACACAAUAAUAUAUAUAUAUAUAAUUAAAUUAUUAUUAAUACACACACAUUAUAUAUAAAUUGGAGCUUUAAAUAUAAAUUAAAUAAUAUAAUAUCAAAUUAUUAGAAUAAUGUUCUACCGGUGCAGUUUUGAGGGAUACCAGGAUACAUUAUACGCCCACUCCUACAAGCAAUUCUACCGAGAAUGCCGCAUCACCGGCACAGUAGACUUCAUAUUCGGGGAUGCAGCUGCUGUGUUCCAGUUCUGUCUCUUCCUUACCUGUCGUCCUCUUCCUCACCAGGUGAACACCAUUACUGCCCAGGGUCGUGAUGACAUCCGGAGGAACACUGGAUUCACGCUUCAGAAUUGCAAUAUUUCUGCCGACUCAGAUCUAGCUUUGUAUAUCGAGCAUAUUCACAGUUAAUUGGGUCGGCCAUGGCUGAACUUAUCCAGGACCGUGAUUAUGGAGACCUACAUUGGGAGCUUGAUUCGGCUUGAGAGGUGGCUCGAAUGGAAUAGUAGUUUUGCCCUCGACACUCUCUAUUAUGCAGAAUACAUGAAUUCCGAGCCAGGUUCGGGACUACGUGGACGGGUUAAGUGGCUAGGGUAUCACAUAAUCACUGAUCCAGUUGUGGCUGCCAAUUUCACGGUCGCGCGGUUGAUCGACGAGGACUCAUGGUUGCCUUCUACUGGGAUUAGUUACAAUAAUAGAUUGUAGUGAGAUAGAUUAGAGUGUGGGUACUUCUAUAGAUUUGAGGGCUGAGCUGGAGAGGAGAGUACGAUAUCAGAAGAUUGUUAUUAAGUGAGAAAAUAUUUUUGGCAUAAAAGUGUCCAUAUUUUGUUUAAGUGAAUGUGAAUAUAUUGGCUACUAUAAUAAUCUGCUAUAAAACUACAUAAUGAAUACUGUAUUACUAUUGUUUUGUGAUUGUAACCGAUAAUUUUAUUUUAUUUAGGGAAAACUUCAAAAACCCCCCCUGUGGUUUCGUGCAUUCUCACUUUGCUACCCUGUGGUUUAAAACGUAUCAUUUUGCCCCCCUGUGGUUUCGUUUUUAUCUUUUUGUUAUCAAUUUUAUUAUUAUUAUUUUUUUAAAAUCAGUGACAAAGUUAAAAUUAAAGGAUACUAAAGUGACUAUUCGAUAAAUANUUUUUUAAAAUCAGUGACAAAGUUAAAAUUAAAGGAUACUAAAGUGACUAUUCGAUAAAUAUAGAUGGUUAUCUGAAGUUUUUUGUAUAUAAUUUAACGAAAUAUUAACGAAAAAGCUUCCGAAAAGAUAAAAAUGAAACCACAUGGGGGUAAAUUGAUACGUUUUAAACCACAGGGUAGCAAAGUGAGAAUGCACGAAACCAUAGGGGGGGUUUUUGAAGUUUUCCCUUUUAUUUAUAUAUUUUGGGUGGAAAGCAAGGUUGGUUGUGAUAUGUUAGAAGUGAGGUGAGGGUGAAACUGGGCCGGGUAGGAAUUGGACCAUCGUAAUUCAAGUGUGGCCCAAGUAAAUUGAGUAUAUUUAGGGCCUGAUUUUGGCUAAAAAAAAAUUAAAAAAAAAAUGAAGCCCGAUCAAAUAUUGGGCUAUGGUCAGGGCCAUGUAAGAGUCAAAAUAUAUAUAUCACCACUUUUUAUACGAUUUUUAUUUUCAGCAGUUAAAAAUUAUUGAUUUUGAAUUUUUUCGAUUUCCAGGUAAAUGAUAUCGAAAAAUCACAGAAAUUAUUUUCUAGAAACUUCAAAUACGCUAGAUCAAGUCUAACUGUCACGCCCCAGAUUACUCAUUUUCGCCGUAUAUAUAGAAAUUUUUUCUGUAUACGAAGCAAUAGCUGUACCUGUACCUGUAAUCAUACAACACUACAACCAGUAGUAUAGAGCUGCUAAAAAGAAAACAUAUAUAAAUAACAUCGAUUCAAAUACAUAUAUAGUAUCCAGAUACAAAACAGUCGCUUCAGCGAGAAUCUAACAUCAGUAUGUACAAGAACAAAAAACGAACACUACCUGUAGCGGGUAAAUCUCUAGAUCAGCAGCAACACUGGAAGGGAUCUAACUCGCGACUCCCUUUUCACGAUCUAUAUCCGCAACAGCAGCAGCCGAAGAAGAAGACUGUACAAAAAGCUUCUACAACUGGGUGUGAGAACUACUGCAAAAAGAAGUAGUCCUCAGUGGGUACUGCUACCAACCUCAACGGCUCACUCACUAAGUCUACAGAAGUAUGCUCAAAGAUAGUAAAGAAAGCUGGAACAAUUCUACAGCUAUAUGUCACUAUACUAUCGUGAUCCAACACCAACUAUCUGUAGAAAAUGCAAGUCCUGACCCAAUCUCACUAGUCAUCAGGGACUGUGAACACACCCGUCCUGCCUGUCGAACCUACACUAAUUACCACAACGCUGGAUCAUCAAUGGAAAGCAAGUCCAACCAGAACAAACCAACAACAACGCAAAAGCACAAAGCCCGACUCUGGAGUCGCACUCGUGGGCGCUACCCAACCGAGUAUGCAAGCGUAUUUCUGCCGAACUCAAUCAGACUCUCACAGGCUGUAAUCAAUACAGAAGGGUCUAACUGGUAUAACAACCAUAAUCAGAAUGAAAGAAAAUUUACCAGGUUCCUUAAAGAAAAAUCAGAAUUCACUUCUAAUGUGGUUCAGCCAAGCAGAAAGCGUCUUAGGUAAUUCCACUACAACUGCAUCGAUUUAAUAAGUUCUUUAUAAUUAUUUACCAAUUAAACUUUUUUUUUUUUUACUAUGUUAACUUCAUAGGUUUACAGAAGAUGAUGGCCCAAUCAAUAGCAAGAGCAAACCCUGACAAUAUAAUAAAAUUAUUCUGUUUAUUACUUAUGCAUCUUUUUGGAUUUUUGUGAUUAAUAGAUGCACAUCUAUUCUUUUUGCGAGGCGAGGGGGUUUCGAUGAACGGAGCAGAGGAAGGAAAGGGUGCGCCGAGCGCGAGGAAAGCGAUGAAGGAAAGAGGAGAGCUGUGGAUCCGAGCUGGAAGAUCGGAGAGAGCGCGGAUUCCUGUGGGGAGAUCGGAGAGAGAUCGAAGAGAGAAAGAGAGGCGGGAUCGGAGAGAGAGAGAGGCGGGAUAGGAGAGAGAGAGAGGCGGGGGCGAGGCGGUUGCCAAGAGAUCCUCACCAGAUCUCACACCGGCGAGGAUCGUGCCGCGAAUCUCGGCGGGAGGUCGGAGAGACCGCGGAUCCCGGCAGGGAGAUCGGAGGGCGGAUCGCAGAAAAAGAAAGAUGGGAGGGACAGCAUGGAGGGAAAAAAAAACGCCGAAGAUCGCGCCGCGGAUCCCGGCGGAUCCGCGUGGGGAGAUCAAAGAGAGAGAGAGGGGCGAGGAGCAAACCCCACGGGCCCUCUCGCGCCCCGCGCGCCACGCCCGCCCGGCUCGCGCCUGCACAUGCGCCUACCCCGGCUCGCGCUCGCACACGUGCCCACCGGGCUCGCACCCGUGCUCGCCGGCGCCGGCGCCUGCGCCUCGAAAAGGCGGAGAAAACGCCACGUCACCCGUGCUCGGCCCGCGCCAACUCGCGCCAGCACCCGCGCCCGCUCGCCUCCCGCGCCCGCCCCAGCUCACGCCGGCGUCCGUCCGCGCCAGCGCCUCCGCUCCUCGCUGGUGGGCCCCACUGGACCCCCCAAAUGCGGGGAAGGCUCUAUACAAACUCUCCUUUCACUUAUUUGUAUAGAUUUUGAAAUAUAAUGGAUGUGGUGCAUGAGAUGCACUUGUACACCCGGUGUAGAGAGCAAAUUCUCAUGCUCCGUUUCUCAUCGCGGAUUAAUUUUAAUCUUAUCUUUUAACUCUUAUUUAUCAGUUCACUGCGACGAAUAGAGACGAGAAAAAAAUUAUAAAGAAUUAGGAUGAAUAAAAAAAAAAGGAUGUUUGGGACUUUCGCUCUAUUUACUUAACGGAUCAGAGUAUUAUUUGAUAUAUAUAUUUUAUUUUUACUUAUCGUUUUAUUUGGGCAAAACGGGUCAACAACUCUACCAACCUGGAUCCAUUCCCCCGUACCACGCCAUGCUUUAUUAUUAUUAUAUUAUUAUUGGCUAAAUUAUAUAAAAUUUUAUUGUCAAAAUUCGAUUUUUCACUUUUCUCUAUUGUUAUUUAAAAAUCUACACUUUACCCUAUUAUAAAAUAAUUCAGAGAGUAAACUGUGAUGACAAAUGAUCAUUUCGCCCCUUACUAUUUUCGUCUCCUUCCUCAUCUUCCUUAUCCGCCGUUUUGAUCGGCCGCUGUUCGCAUCUCGAUCGGCCGUGAUUCCUCUCCAUUUCCUUCUUCACCCGCUCCCCUUCUCCUUCUACACUCUCGUCGCCCCUCUAUUUCGGCGACAAUAGGGAGGGAGGAAAUCGAAGUGGGCGUAGAUAGAGAGGUGGGCAAAAGCAAUGAGGGUGAAAGCAAGGCGGCGGAGGAGGGCGAGAGAAUGUUUAUGGGCACGGUCAGAGAUGUGGAUGAGGGCAAGGCAAUGGAGGAAGGCGAGGCGGCGAGGCAGAGGAGGGCGAAGCAACCGUAAAGAAGGCAAAGGGUAUUUUUGGCAUAAAAAAUUUAUAACGGAACCCUAACGGAUCACUAACGGUACGGGGUGAAAUAAAUAUUUUUUAUUUUACAAAAAGGUAUAGUAUAGAUUUUUAAAUGACAGUGGAGGAAAGUAAAUAAUCGAAGUUUAACAUCAGAAUUUUAUGUAAUUUAGCCUAUAUUAUUUAUUUAUUUACUAAUUUAACUCCACAAAACCCUCCUCCUUCUCCGCCUCCUCCUCCAUGCGCGGCGACUCCGACCCCCCUCCGCCGCCGCCGCCGCAGCCGCUGGAGAUGGCGGAGUCCGGCCGAGACCCCGCGGCGGCGGAGGCGCUCCGCCUCCUCGCCAUGGCGGAAGCGAGGCUCGCCUCCGCCUCCUCCCUGAAAUCCGCUCUCAAGUACGCCAAGCGCGCGGCGAGGCUCCGCCCCGGAGUCGGCGGCGCCGCGGCGCUCGUCGCCGCGCUCCGCGUCCUCCGCGCCGACCCCUCCGACCACUACGGCGUCCUCCGCCUCCCCCCGCUCUCCUCCGCGGCCGCGAUCCGUCGCCGCUACAAAACCCUAGCCCUCGACCUCCACCCCGAUCGCUCGCCCUUCCCCUCCUCCUCCUCCUCCUCCGCGGUGGCGGUGGCCGAGGAGGCGUUCAAGCGCGUCGCCGAGUCCUUCCGCGUCCUCUCCGACCGGUCCCUCAAGCGCCGCCUCGACCUUCGCCUCCGCCGCGGCCGACGAUCGCCGCCGCCGGAGGAGGAGGAGGAGCGCGCCGCCACGUUCUGGACCGCCUGCGCCGCGUGCCGCCUCCUCCACGAGUUCCACCGCAGGUACGUCGGCUACCGCCUUGUUUGCCCUAGCUGCCGCAAGAGCUUCCUCGCCGUCGAGGUCCCCAACCCCAACAACGACGACGAUGACGAUGACGAAGCCGAGGACCCGGAACAGGAGGAAGGAGAAGAAGAAGCAGAAGAAAAUGGCGACGACAAUGCCGAUGAUAAUAAGUCGAGAGUUAGGGCUAGCUCUAGGGAUAGGGCUAGGGCUAGGAGGGUAACGAAGUCGCGAUCUAAUUCUCGGCCUAGGGUUUCUAGAUUCCCGCCAUUGGCGCGGCAAAAACGGAGAAUUGAACCCAGACUUUCGAACUCGCCAUUGGCGGGGUCCAAGAAACCCCGGACAAAUCCGGAGAAGACGCUAGCCGAGAUGCAGAUGGAGCUCAGCAGGGAAAAGAAGAGGAAGGAGAGGAAGGGAAAUGUGAAACCUUUGCUUCAGCCAAAGGAGGAGGAAGAAAAUGAUUCGAGCCUAAUGGUGGUCGAGGACUCGGAUUUCUACGACUUUGAUAAGGAUCGGUCGGAGAAGAGCUUCAGGAAAGGGCAAAUUUGGGCAAUUUACGAUGACGAUGACGGGAUGCCCCGCCACUACGGGUUGAUCGAAGAGGUCGUCUCUUCGGAUCCAUUUAGGAUUAGGAUGAGUUGGUUGGACAUCGAAAACCAUGGAGAUGAGCAUUUGCUUCUUUUAGAGAAAUCGGGGUUUCAUAUCUCGUGUGGGCGAUUUAAGAUUGGGAGAAAAGUUGAAAUCCGCUCAGUCAAUCUCUUCUCCCAUUUGAUCGACUGCGAAAGGGCCGCGAGGGAGCUUUUUAGGGUUUACCCAAAAAAGGGUUCGGUUUGGGCGCUAUAUGGGGAUUGGAACUUCGGCGGAGAGGAGAGGAGGCGACACUAUGACAUUGUUGUGUUGCUCACAAGCUAUAGUGAUAUGUAUGGGGUGAGCAUGGCGUAUCUUGAGAAGGUGGGCGGGUACAAGAGUGUAUUUAAGAGGCGGGAGGUUGGCGCACUUGCUAUUAGGUGUAUUGAGAAAGAGGAUGUGAGGGUUUUCUCGCAUCAGAUUCCCGCACGGAAGCUUUCGGGAACGGAAGGGUUGGAUUUGCCGAGAGAUUGCUGGGAGCUCGAUCCUGCUUCACUAACUGCAGAAAUGCUCUCUGUUACUUGGAGUAGGUAAUGUUUGCUGCGAUGAUGGUGACGUGCAGCAUUGUAAAAAUUCCAUUUGAACCGACAAUGAAGUUUUGCUUCGCUUCGUCAAACUUGGGAGGUUUUUGGCUCGCUUACCUAUUUUCUGAAAUUUGAUUCGUCAUCUUGAUUCCAUUCGUAUCUUAGGUUGCAUUUGUGAAUUUUAAUGUUGUUCUGUUGCUCGUGAUUGUUAUAAUGGCUAACACUAAAGUAUGUGAAUGCCGACCAUAACUGAUGAAUGACUUAGCUCAGCAGAAAACUAUAAGUUGUUUCACAGUUUCAAUACAUAGCAUUUAGUGAUGCCAAAAUAUGCUCUCAAUAAACAAGGAUAUGCCCAAUUCUCACAAACUCUAGAAUUGUUCGCUUGUUCUCAGCUAUCUUUUAUUCAGGUGUCUAUGUUUGUUUGUCUGUGUAUUGUUUGCUAAAAUUGUAAAGAUUUGUAAAUCUGCUGCGGGGAACCAUUUAUUGCUUACGAAGUUACCUUUUAACAGGAAUUGCCUGAAACCUUUUCAAGAUUCGACUUUAUAGCAAAAGAUGUAACUAUCUUCUGAAGUUUGCCAGUUGCAUGUCUUCCUGUUUGUAUACUUUCUAUAUGUUCAACACUGCUAUUGUUAUUUCAAUAACAAUUUGAAUACGUCACGCAUUCGGCAUUCCAUUAUUGCAUCUAGAGUAAGCUGGAAAAAAAGAAGUCCGUCAUGGGACGACGCAAGAUUACUUUCAACUCUUUAGUCUACAAUCUUGUAGUUCUUAAGGCUUCAACGGUACCAGUGUUACAUCAACCGUCGGACAAUCGCACAUGGGAUUUGAAUUUGUCUUUAUCACUGCUCAAAUGCCUAGAUAGUAAAUACGCACUUAUUAUUUCAUUUUGCCUUGAGAUCCAAAAAUACUCCAGAUGUAUGAAUUAUUUGUUUCUAUGCAUGCCUCCAUACUAUUAAUAAGAAAAUUCUCUACUAGUUUGUAAUUUCUUAGCACAAAUAAGCUACUAGUAUUAAAAAUGAUCAAACAUCAGUAUCAGGUUAUUCUUUUCAUUGUUAUGCUGUUAUAUGUGAUCGAAGCACUUACUAGAAGGGUGCCCUUUGAACUAUAACAUGUAAAUUACCAUGUUAAAAGUAGUUUUUACAAUAUAGGGUAUGUUUGUUUCGCUGGAGGUGAAGUUUGAUGGAUGAAUUAGAGUUUUGGUGAAUCUCUUUUGUUGUUUGUUCUUUAGAGCUGUGGAAUUGAAGUUUCUUUAGUUUUGUUGUCCGUUUGUCCUAGUGUGAAUGACGUAAAAGUUGAAAUUUUCUGUCAUUAAUAUUUUAUCAUUUGUUCCUCACUCUCCUCUCCUAUAAUUAACUCCGGUCGGGGUGAACCGAAGACAAUCACGGUAUUUUUGAGAGUUUGAAUUUCGACCGGAGCUGGAAUUACGCCGAACCAAACAAUGGAGGUGGGCAUCCGAAAUCCACUUCUCCCCCUCUCCAUUUUUGGUGAAACAAACACAAUCAGUAGUGUUUCUUCAGCUUCGAUGUAAGUUUGCAGCAGACUCCGAAUUUAGAAUUGCAAGUCCAAAGGUUUGCGGGUUUGGGCAGUGACAGUGAACUGAGAAGAUGAUUACUGAAGCACACCAUCCAUGUGUGGGUGAAUGUUGAACUUCCUUCGUAAAUCACGUCUUUAUCUCUGCUGAAUUUAACAGUAACUAGCGUGCGCUCUCCAGUUUGAUCGGUGUUAUUUGACUGAUAUAAUAAACUUGGCUGUUUUCUGUAUAAAUUCAAUUUUAUUGUGUCUCUGGGUAUCCUUCUUGUGUAAUGUUGCCGAUGUCUGCAGGUGCUUAGCCCAGAUUGGGACAGAUGCUCUCUAUCAAUCUGGAUCCAUUUACAUCCCUACUUUUCUGCUUCUUUUCUUUCUUGGGGGCGUGUACAGUGUGUGGAUGUGUCAAGAUGUGUUCACCUUACAAUCACACAGCACCAGUUUUCCCAAUAUGAACUCUAAAGCCAAUAGGAAUAGUUAGUUAGUGCAGAAACUCAUGCAAGCAGUUGGAAGCCCUAAAUUUAUUACGAUUAAAUCAUCAUACCACUAAGACACAAAAAUUAAAUUUGAGGGGAAAAAGAAGAAAAAAAAAAAAAACCUGCAAAGUGUUACCAAAUCCAAUCUUAAGACAAAACUACUGUUAUUUCUCCACCCAUGUUGUGACCAAAAAGAUCCUGGUUAAAACACCAACUUUACUCAUUCGGUAGUAAAAUGUUGAUGCCCUCUGCAAAGUCCUAUGACAUAACAUGCAUAAAUAUUGUAUGGGGAAUUUCAGGUGGUUUCAUCUAUCCAAGGAAGUUCAUGAUCACCAGAUGGAGCACUAAGUUGCAGAGGACGAAAUCGGCGAAGGCACGUUCUGGCGGUAGAUCCUGAAAUCAGUUUCAUACCAUCGUUAAACACGGUGAGGUUCUGAGAAUUAAAGAGAGCUUUCGUAAGUUACCUUAAAUUCCUUGUUCUCUUUGUUGACUUGAAUGCGGAGACAAACUGCACCAACAAGGAUAGUAAUACGCGAUAGAAUCGCAUAAACCGAGAAUACAAAAAGCAAGUGCAACUUCGUAUCAGAAAAAAGGGCAUGAAAACGCGUGUAAGCAUUGUUAUUUUUUGCAUUGUUAACCCCCUGGAAUUUUAAAAAUUGUAUGUUAUCAUGCUGACCUACGAGCAAACUGCUAGAUAGUUAAAAGAGGAGUGACGGAAAAAAAUAUGUAGUUUUCAGCACCUCAGGGAAGCAAAGUGAAAAAAUCAACGAUAUUUAUAGGUGUUCAGAUACUCUAAUGCAGUUUAGCCAGAAAAAAAAAGAGAAAAAAACGAAGAAAGAAUUAUAUACCUGCGAGUACUGCCGUCCCUACGCACGAAAGUACACCGGAGAGGAAAGAGUUGAAUGGAAAUGAUCCAACUAUUCCCAUGUAAACCACCUGUUGCACCAUGAAAGGAAAAAUGAACACUGCAAAGAUUAAAUACACCAGCUUUGUAAAGGUCACUGUAGUCACAAAUAGAAUACUCAUAGAGAAACAUUAGGUAAUCUGCUACAGCAUUAAUGGGCUGCUUUACAAGGCAAACUACACGAUCCUUGAUGAUUGAGUUUUAAAUAAUCAACUUAGCUAAGUCGCUGUAUGUUCCACUCAUACAGGGAUCAACAAUCAAUCCGAGAGGAAACAAGGGUGGUAGUUGCACAUAAAAAGGAUAAAAUAAAUAAUCUAUUUUCUGACGACCUUUGGGAUUGACGUAGUUUCCACACACAAACUUCUCUUGUGCUCCAAUGCGAACUAGCUACAAGUUAAACUAGCCCCUUCGAAGCAUAUUUACUUGGUACAAAUUACAAAAACUUGUAUAAGCGACUAACAGAAAAUAAGGUAACUUGAGAAUGUGCUUCAGGAUUACAGAACAUACAGAAUUACGUUAAAGCAUUUAUUAACAGUGAUUUAAGGGAUCUGGUUUGUGAAAUUGAACAGUCUAAUUUUGGGCGUACAAAAUUAACUACUAAUUAUCCCUUUGUUAUACACUAAUAUUGAUGAGGACAUCUUUCUACUAUUUAAAUUUAAUUAUUUUUUGGCUAAAAUACAGAAAACCUCUUUGUAAUAAUAUCCGCUUUUUUCACUUUCCCUUCCUAACUUUUAAAAAUCUAUAUUUUAUCCCCUUAAAAUUUUAGAAAUAUUUUCAGUAGGGUACAACAUUAAUGGAGAGGGCAAAAUGACCAAAUUGCCCAUCUUCUAUAAGAAAAAAAUAAUUUUUUAAUGUAUUUCUGUCAUUUUGAAAAACAUUUUCGGUACAAAUUAUAAAAAAUGGACGGAAUAGUGAUGGAACCCUGACAGAGGAGGGCUAAAAUGCAACAACUAAAAUGUUGAGGGAGUAAAAUAUAGGUUUUUGAAAGUUAGGGAGGGAAAGUAAAAAAGUUGGAUUUUCUGUAAUUUAGCCUUACUUUUUUGAGUACUGACGCAUCCGUUUGAUCACUCUACAUGAAUCUUCUUCAGUGUUCCAUAUUUCUAUCCCUGGUGGCAACAAGAAACUUAACUGUAUUAUAACACUGCCACCAUUUCUACCGUUAUCUUGUUUGUCAGAAUCUUGUCGGAGAAAGUCAAAAUCGAAAAUAAUAAUAAUAAUAAUAUGGUCGGUUGGUUUUAAAUAAUAGGGAUGAUCAAUUAGGCUAUUUCUACAGCCAACAUUUUGCUAGAAGUGUUUAAUAAAACAAUAACAAAAUAUAGCAGAUUGAUUUAUAAGUUGUUACAAGUAAUCGAGCCAGGAAUAACGCAAGAAUGAGGACACUGAGGUUUGAAAGCAGAAGUACUGAAGUACUAAAAUUACAUCAUUUACAAGAAUUCACACUUUGAUAGGAUCAAAAAGAGCAAGCAGAGUUCUACAACUUGAUAUUUCACUUGGACUCAUUUGUACGAUCGGCAUAGUAACUUUUGCCUCGGCAUUAUCUCGAUUCUUCUUCAUUGUUGUAGACCCAUUAAUCUACUCUCAUCUAUAAACAAGCAGAAUGCCUAUAGACUAUACUGCUGAUCUUGCAACCAAAUUAACAUUUUUACUAGGCUGGAUCAGUGGGCAUUAUCUCGAUUGUUCUUCAUUGUCGUAGACCCAUUAAUCUACGCUCAUCUAUAAACAAACAGAAUACCUAUAAACAAUACUACAGAUCUUGCAAACAAAUUAACAAUUACUAGGCUGGAUCAGCGGCCAUUCCAUUUUACUAGGGCAUUUAGUUUGAGACUCGCGAACUAUCAACUUUAUACAUCAUUUAAAUAUGGAUACAGAAAAAAGAACAAAUGAAAGGACAUGUCAAAAAGAAAAAAAGAAAUCAUGGAGUAAAAUAGUGAAAAAAUUUUACUGCCAAAUGACAAGCAACAAUCAAACCCUGUAACAGAUUGAGAUUAACAAACAUUUCUAAAUCAUUAAUCAUCACAUAUUGUAUAACGAAGACAUCAAUUCAUAAAACAAUCUAUAUGCAAUUAAAAGUAAGAGACAAAAAAUAUCAGUUGGUACCUGAAUCAGCGCCGUCGCAACAGCGAAAACCACAUACAGAUCAAUAAUCUGCCAAAAUUCACACAAAUAAAAAGAAGAAGAGAGAGAAACCUCUAUCAGAUCCUCCCAUCUACUAGUUAACCAAAUCGAAUCAAACUAAACUGAGAACCACAUCUGAACCCACCUUGAGGUUAGUUGGCGUGGCGGCGUACGCCUUGCGGAGAGACUGAAUCAAAAGCUGAGCAUCGUUCGUAGCCUUCGGCAUCUUCUCAAACUACUGCUUUUCCAAUCCCUAGCACAUCACAAACACAGGUAAAAACUCACAGAUCUCCACUACAAACCCUAAAAAUGGAACGAUCUUUGACAAAAAAAAAAAAAAAAAACCGAUAGCAUUACAUAAAUCAGAGAGGUUUCCGAAGCGAUCAUGUGAUUUAGUGUUUUGAAUCGAAGAAUGGGGGGGUAAUUUGUCGGAUUUGGAUCAGAAGGGGAUCAGAUCGAAUCGAGUGGUGACAAUUCGUGGAUUGAAAAGAAGAGGAGAGAGAGGAGAUCGAGAGGAAACCCUAGAAUUCGAGAGGAGGAGGAGACGAACCUGAGAGAGCGCGAGAGAGAGAAGAGGAGGAGGAGGCGGAGGAGCUUCGUCGUCUCCGCGAUCGCGAUGGUCGAGUGCGAUUUGGGGUUUUUGGUGCGGGAGAACGGGGGUUUUUACGGGCCGGUUUAGUUGGUGCGGUCCAUCCGAACCGGUGGUUCCUAAACAAACCGAACCGGAUGCACGUGCAGCACGUGCAACCGUAUCUCCCGGUGGAGAAUAAGACUAAGGGCGUGUUUGGUUCGCUUCUUUUUUACCAUGGAAUCGGAAUCGGAAUAGAUAAAUCCGUUUGUGGGUGUUUGGUACGCGAGAGUUCUAUUCCGAUUUCGAUUCCCGAGUGAAAUGGGAAUCCCCUAAUCACCUAUUUUUUCAAUCCGGCCUAAGAGGCCAGAUUGAAAGUUGAAUUCGGACGGAAUGGAUAUUUAUUCGGAUUAAAUUUAUUUUUUCAACUUUUUAAUUAAAAUAUGAGCUAAAAUUUUAAAAUUAAAUAUAUAAUUUUAAAUUUUAAUUUAAACUUAAAUUAAAAAUUAAAAUUUAAUCAAGUAUUUCGAAUCUAACUUAUGAAUUUGAAUUUAAAUUAAAUUUUAAUUUAUAUAAAAUGUUAUUCAAAUUUUAUUUCAAACUUAAAUUAAAUUUAUGUAUUCAAAUUAAAAUUUAAAUUAUAAUUUUAAAUUUUAAUUUGAAUAAAUCAAAAUUUAGUUUCAUAUUUUAAAUUAUCCACUCAACUUCAAAGUUUAAUUUU